rnacentral:rRNA from 1 species
GUAGGGCGAAAAAUUGGGGGGCGGUAAUUACAUGCAUCUCGAGCGGACAGAUGGGAGCUUGCUCCCUGAUGUUAGCGGCGGACGGGUGAGUAACACGUGGGUAACCUGCCUGUAAGACUGGGAUAACUCCGGGAAACCGGGGCUAAUACCGGAUGGUUGUUUGAACCGCAUGGUUCAAACAUAACCAAUUGGUGGCUUCGGCUACCACUUACAGAUCGCAUUAGCUAGUUGGUGAGGUAACGGCUCACCAAGGCAACGAUGCGUAGCCGACCUGAGAGGGUGAUCGGACUGAGGACACGGUCCCAGACUCCUACGGGAGGCAGCAGUAGGGAAUCUUCCGCAAUGGACUCUGACGGAGCAACGGAUGAAGGUUUUCUCGUAAAGCUCUGUUGUUAGGGAAGAACAAGUACCGUUCGAAUAGGGCGGUACCUACCUAACCAGCCAAAGCCACGGCUAACUACGUGCCAGCAGCCGCGGUAAUACGUAGGGUGGCAAGCGUUGUCCGGAAUUAUUGGGCGUAAAG